AACCCAUGGUGAGGGCACCAUCUCAAUAGGUCCUUAUACCUCUCCCAUGCAUCAUAUAGGGUCUUUAAAUCGAUCUGAAUGAAGAAGAGAUAUCAUUUCUUAACUU
rnacentral:snoRNA from 1 species